rnacentral:lncRNA from 10 species
AACAAUCUUGAGUAGAGAAGACAGAUAAAAAUGUUGAUGGGACUCAGAACAUGCUACUCCAAAAUAUGGCACCAUGGCAUUUGAUAAAAUAGCAGAAUCAGGAAGUUCUCUCUGACCCUCUUCCACCCCCACCCCUGAAGCAAGCUGUAAAAGAAUUCUCCAACCUUCCUAUACCGGGAAGAAAGGAAUGUCCUUAUCUCUGAUGACACAGACUCACAGAAGAAUCCAAGCAAACAGACCUUGCUAAGUGUCCCUAGUUUAUUACCAUUAGAUCAUAACCCCUUUGUCCACUUCUUCAUCAAGCCUAAGUAUAAACAGAUUGUCCUGCUUCUUUGGAUCUUCAUUUCUGAAGGGCCCUGUGUCAUGUAAACUUAUGUUAAAUAAAUUUCUAUGUUAUUUUCUUGUUAACCUGUCUUUACUAUAGGAUCCUCAGCCAUGAGCCUUGCAAAGAUAUUACUUUCCCCUACAGUUUCCACAACGUUUUAGGACUGAGAGCUUGCCUAAAGGUGGAAGAGAAUUAAGGUGUUGCUUGGGAUCCAUAGAGGGAAACGAAAACUGAGGCAUAGAGAGAAGUGCUUGAGAGCCUGAAAGGCUGGAGCAGUCUGGGGUCGAGAGAAACAGGAGGUGUCCUGAAAUUUGUAUGAUGUUCCUUGUGUUCAGCUGAGAAAGAGUUAGGGUCACGUCAAGGAUUCACAGCAAUGGGCAAAGAUUAACAGUGACACAUGCAGCUGCUAUUUCCUCUACAGUUUAAAAAACCAACAUGGCUGAUCAAAUUGACCACGUAGUCAACAGAAUUCACUCAUUACGAAUUUGAAGAAAAAAAAAAAUCAAAUGAUUUCAAAAGGGAAAAUUUCUUUGCAUGCAAAUGGUCUGGAUAUUUUCCCCAAAGGAAAAUCAAACAAAAGACUGCAUUUGUCCUUGACUCUUGGAGACUGAGAGCAACAUCAAGAGGAAACUCAAGAGGAGCACAAUCCUAUUUAAGGGCUUUGACUAAGUCUUGGUAUUUUCAGUUCCUCUGAAGAUUCCCACACCUUGUGGACAUAUGAAAGGGCUUAGUAUUUAGAAGAUUUUAUUACCAAAUCAUAAAUAUUUUAUUUACCCAAACCUGCAAGGAAGGAAGAAACGAUGGGGAAUUUGGGCAGCUUUCUAGGGAAAUUCGUGCCAAGGUCCCAUUUGCAUUGACUUUGCAAGGCACUCAAAGCACUUUUGUUUCAUUUCACAUAUUUCAUUCUGUUGGAAUAUAGCCACCAGGUAUGUGGCACAGAUAAAGUCAUCUGCCAAUAUCCGGGUUUAAAUCUGGAAAACAAAUAUGUCAAUGAACUUGAUAUAGGCAACAUCUUUCAUGCUAGCAUCUGCUCUGCCAUUUCCAAAGAUUUCUAGCAAUGGAAUCGAUAUUGAUACUGUUCUUUAUAAAGAUAAACAUACUGGCCCUCCAUCAUGUGGGUAUAUGCUCUGAAAGUUUUUCUUGCAGAUGAGAAAACCGGUCCUUGUUCAUUCUAUUGACCAAACCCCAAUGUGCCCAUGGGAAAAGCUUGCCAGGAUGAAAUGUGUAGGCCACUGCUGGAAAGCAGCAAUGUAACUGGCUUAUGUAGAGAUAAAAUUUGUAACUCUGCACUCAUGCUGAUUCUUACUGAUGCUGUAGAAUCCGUCUCCACCAUCCUCAUAAUUGAGGUUCCUGUUAGUCUUUGUUCUUUUCAACCUGUCCUCCACACAUCCUCCAGACCAGCUUUUCUGAAAUAAAAACCCUGUUUUCGUUUUAUUUCACUGUGCUUAAAAACCUUCAAUGACUUCUCAUUGCCGACGUGAAUGAAAGUAUAAUUAAGCUUAUAAUCAGAUUAUAAUUUAGUUUAUUGAUAUUUAUUACUAUUAGCGUAAAAUUAGUUUCUAAAUACUGACAAAUUAGGAGGUUUUACUUCAAUAUAUAUAGAUAUGUGUCUUUUCUUAUUAAAUUGAGGUGGUCUGAAGAUAUGGGGCCCCUUUUCCUACCUAGAUGAGAGCUACCUAGCAACUGUCUUCUUUUAGGCCCAUGAAGUUUUCUCAAAUUUGAGGUUGUCAGUUGCCACGUACUGGGCUGUUUGUUCAAUUUUUGAAUGGUAGAUAAAUAUUACUCUUCACGUUUAUCAAGUGGGGAAGCAGUGUUUUACUAGUGAACAGGCUCUCAAAAGAACAAUAAACAAAACAAAACAAAACAAAUAAAGAAGCUCUGAUGGGUUGCAUUUGCUGAUUUCUAUGGUGCAAAUAUUUUCACCAUGCCAGGUUUGAAGCUACCAACAUGAAAUCACUGAACUCCAGAUUGAGAAGAAAUGCUAACAUAUAGCUCUCAUACUGAUUCCAGUGCAGCAUUAUAAUAAAGACCAAGAAAGCUAUGUGUUUCAAAAGUAGAAAACAAAACAAAAUCAAAGGAGGGCACUUACAUAACACUUUGCUCACAUUAUUUGCCUGGCCCACACAGACUCUUGGAUGUGCAGUUCUUGCCAAUGAUUAAAUAAAUUUCAAACUGCUUAAAAUGGCCUAGCAAAUCUUUUUACAAUUUAAUCUCAAACUAAAUUUCUAAACUAUUUCCUGCCACUACCCACAUAAUGUAUAGCUUCUUGAUGUUUCUAUUAUACACCCAUUAUUUUGCCAUAUCUGUGUCUUCAUGUAUGAAACCCUCUAUAUAUGGAAUACCAUUGUCAUCACUACAUCUACCAUACCUUCUCUGUGAAACUUUCUUAAGUGAUGCUUAAGAGUUAAAUACUUCUAAUCUCUGCUUCUAGGUCACUAUGCAUUUGGUGUUGUAAAUUGUGAGCUCUCUGAGAGCAAAA